AACGAUGGGUGCUAGUUGUCAGGCAGCAUGCUGUUUGGUGACGCAGCUAACGCGUUAAGCACCCCGCCUGGGGACUACGGUCGCAAGACUAAAACUCAAAGGAAUUGACGGGGGCCCGCACAAGCGGUGGAGCAUGUGGUUUAAUUCGAGGCAACGCGAAGAACCUUACCGGCCCUUGACAUACCAAUCGCGGAUAGCAGAGAUGCUUUCCUUCAGUUCGGCUGGAUUGGAUACAGGUGCUGCAUGGUUGUCGUCAGCUCGUGUCGUGAGAUGUUGGGUUAAGUCCCGCAACGAGCGCAACCCUCGCCUUUAGUUGCCAGCAUUAAGUUGGGCACUCUAGAGGGACUGCCGGUGAUAAGCCGGAGGAAGGUGGGGAUGACGUCAAAUCAUCAUGGCCCUUACGGGCCGGGCUACACACGUGCUACAAUGGCGGUGACAGUGAGCAGCCACUCAGCGAUGAGGAGCUAAUCUCUAAAAGCCGUCUCAGUUCGGAUUGUUCUCUGCAACUCGAGAGCAUGAAGUUGGAAUCGCUAGUAAUCGUGGAUCAGCAUGCCACGGUGAAUACGUUCCCGGGCCUUGUACACACCGCCCGUCACACCAUGGGAGUUGGUUUUACCCGAAGACUGUGUGCUAACUUUUAGAGGCAGCAGGCCACGGUAAGGUCAGCGACUGGGGUGAAGUCGUAACAAGGUAGCCGUA
rnacentral:rRNA from 1 species